UGGAGGACGCCGAACAAGUUUCUCUCUGGUUGGCAAGAGCCUCAAUUUCGGUUAGGCUUCUACGCGGACAGCACCACUAUGGAGCUGUCAGAGUGAGUGCAGUCACCAGCGGUACGCCGAAAAGCUGGAAGUUCGUGGCAACUAGUAUCCUGACCCGUACACUAUUUCGGCGUGGAAGAAUGACCCGAAGCGCGUUGGGCAAACGUUAGGUUUGGGGACAUAUACGUGUACCUCCUUCACACGCCUGGCCCGUACAGUGCCGAGGCGAUGAAGUCCUACCGAUCGCUGAAAGCGCACGGCCUUGCCAUGGAAGGGCACGCACACGAAGUGCUAAUUUCCGACUUGAGUAUGGAAUGCUGUUUCCUGAAAGCAGAAGUGACGCCGUCGCAGAGGACGACCGCCAAGCCCUACGAGGCGUGGGCUCUUGUUUGUAAAGACGGCAGCGUCCACACGGCGCAUUGUGCGUGCAUGGCUGGACUUGGAGAAGUCUGCGAACAUGUGGCAGCACUGCUUUUCAAGGUGGAGCUGCUCGUUUCGUCUGGGUUUGCGAGGUCGACAACAUCAUAGCUUUGCGAGCGGAACAACAAGUUUCGAGAGAGUUUACAGAUGAAUCCAAGUGGUCCACCUGGCAACCUAGGAUUACAUCACGUGGGUUCACGGCGGCCGAGGCAGGAUAUAAAGGACAGCUGGCUGGCUCCCACUUCGGGCGCGACAUCACAUCCAAUAUGUCGCACUCACGCUGGUUAUUAUUACAGGGAGGUGAUGAAGCCGCGGGCCACUCCCACGUUGGUACGAGAAGGCGAAGCCUCACCGCCGCAUCAUUGGCUGUCUGGACAGCCUAUACUUGAAGUGAAAGCUCGGAGCUCCGCAGCGCAGAGCUCCACUCUUCUGAGGUACAGCUAUGCGGGCCUCUCUGUAACGAGGGGCACUCCCAGAGGAUGUGUUCUGAAUUACUUUUCUGUCGACAGCUCGACAGUCCGGACUAAAGGCGUCUAGGUUGAUGGAGUGAAAUAAAGUCAAGUUUGGAUACGAUGCUGUCUGAAGCAUUCGCAGUGUGAUACUUUGUGGUCUGUUUAGUUUAUUGUGUGUGUGUGUGGUGAAGAUUUGCGUU